rnacentral:rRNA from 1 species
UCAGGACGAACGCUGGCGGCGUGCUUAACACAUGCAAGUCGAACGGCCCGCCCUGACUGAAUCCUUCGGGAUGAAGACAGGAUCCGGGCAGUGGCGGACGGGUGAGUAACGCGUGGAGAACCUGUCUUCCAGUCCGGGAUAACCUGGCGAAAGCCGGACUAAUCCCGGAUAGACUAAUAGCUGAGCAUUCAGCUAAUAGGAAAGGUGGUGUAAGCCAUCGCUGGGAGGUGGCUCCGCGUCGGAUUAGCUAGCUGGUGAGGUAACGGCUCACCAGGGCGACGAUCCGUAGCUGGUCUGAGAGGACGAUCAGCCACACUGGGACUGAGACACGGCCCAGACUCCUACGGGAGGCAGCAGUGGGGAAUCUUCCGCAAUGGGCGAAAGCCUGACGGAGCAACGCCGCGUGAGUGAAGAAGGCCUUCGGGUCGUAAAGCUCUGUCCUCAGGGAAGAAACCUUAAGGGAGGCAAUGCCCUUAAGCUGACGGUACCUGAGGAGGAAGCCCUGGCUAACUACGUGCCAGCAGCCGCGGUAAUACGUAGAGGGCAAGCGUUGUCCGGAAUUACUGGGCGUAAAGGGUACGCAGGUGGAUUAGUAAGUCAAAUGUG